CCUACGGGGGGCAGCAGUGGGGAAUAUUGGACAAUGGGGGGAACCCUUAUCCAGCCAUGCCGCGUGUGUGAAGAAGGCCCUCGGGUUGUAAAGCACUUUCAGGGAGGAAGAACGCCUGGUGGUUAAUACCCAUCAGGAAAGACAUCACUCACAGAAGAAGCACCGGCUAACUCCGUGCCAGCAGCCGCGGUAAUACGGAGGGUGCGAGCGUUAAUCGGAAUUACUGGGCGUAAAGCGCGCGUAGGUGGCUUGAUAAGCCGGUUGUGAAAGCCCCGGGCUCAACCUGGGAACGGCAUCCGGAACUGUCAAGCUAGAGUGCAGGAGAGGAAGGUAGAAUUCCCGGUGUAGCGGUGAAAUGCGUAGAGAUCGGGAGGAAUACCAGUGGCGAAGGCGGCCUUAUGGACUGACACUGACACUGAGGUGCGAAAGCGUGGGUAGCAAACAGGAUUAGAUACCCUUGUAGUC
rnacentral:rRNA from 1 species